UACGGAGGGUGCAAGCGUUAAUCGGAAUUACUGGGCGUAAAGCGUGCGCAGGCGGUUUGUUAAGUCCGUUGUGAAAGCCCCGAGCUCAACUUGGGAAUUGCAGUGGAUACUGGCAGGCUGGAGUACGGUAGAGGAAGGUGGAAUUCCCGGUGUAGCAGUGAAAUGCGUAGAUAUCGGGAGGAACACCAGUGGCGAAGGCGGCCUUCUGGACCAGUACUGACGCUGAGGCGCGAAGGCGUGGGGAGCGAACGGG
rnacentral:rRNA from 1 species